AGUGGGAUAACUGGGUCAAACUGUGAUUCCAUUCCAAAUUUUCUGAAAAAUCUCAAUACUGUUUUCCAGAGUGGUUGCACCAAUUUGCAAUCUCACCAGCAAU
rnacentral:pre_miRNA from 1 species